CCCUUAGAUGUUCUGGGCCGCACGCGCGCUACACUGAUGCAUUCAACGAGUCUAAAACCUGCUCUGAUAGGGGUGGGUAAUCUUUUGAAUGUGCAUCGUGAUUGGGAUAGAUGAUUGCAAUUUUUCAUCUUCAACGAGGAAUGCCUAGUAAACGCAAGUCAUCAGCUUGCAUUGAUUACGUCCCUGCCCUUUGUACACACCGCCCGUCGCUCCUACCGAUUGGGUGUGCUGGUGAAAUGUUCGGAUCGGCCGUUUGUCGCGGUUUCCGCGUCAUGUGGCUGAGAAGUUCAUUAAACCCUCCCACCUAGAGGAAGGAGAAGUCGUAACA
rnacentral:rRNA from 1 species